rnacentral:lncRNA from 1 species
UUUGGGUGCAGUAUAUAUGAUUCCAGGUAGUAUUGGGUGUAGGAUAUAUGAUUCCAGGUAGAAUUGGGUGUAGUAUGUAUGAUUCCAGGUAGGAUUGGGUGUAGGGUAUAUGAUUCCAGGUAGGAUUGGGUGUAGGAUAUAUGAUUCCAGGUAGAAUUGGGUGUAGGAUGUAGGAUUGGGUGUAGGAUGUAUGAUUCCAGGUAGGAUUGGGUGUAGGAUAUAUGAUUCCAGGUAGGAUUGGGUGUAGGGUAUAUGAUUCCAGGUAGGAUUGGGUGUAGGAUGUAGGAUUGGGUGUAGGAUGUAUGAUUCCAGGUAGGAUUGGGUGUAGGAUAUAUGAUUCCAGGUAGGAUUGGCUGUAGGGUAUAUGAUUCCAGUUAGGAUUGGGUGUAGGAUAUAUGAUUCCAGGUAGAAUUGGGUGUAGGAUGUAUGAUUCCAGGUAGAAUUGGGUGUAGGAUAUAUGAUUCCAGGUAGGAUUGUGUGCAGUAUAUAUGAUUCCAGGUAGUAUUGGGUGUAGGAUAUAUGAUUCCAGGUAGAAUUGGGUGUAGGGUAUAUGAUUCCAGGUAGGAUUGGGUGUAGGGUAUAUGAUUCCAGGUAGAAUUGGGUGUAGAAUAUAUGAUUCCAGGUAGGAUUGGGUGUAGGAUGUAGGAUUGGGUGUAGGAUAUAUGGAUCCAGGUAGGAUUGGGUGUAGGGUAUAUGAUUCCAGGUAGGAUUGGGUGUAGGAUGUAUGAUUCCAGGUAGGAUUGGGUGUAGGGUAUAUGAUUCCGCUGUUGCUGGAGCUCUCUUUCUCGUUCCUCUCUCUUUCUCUCUCUCGCUCUUUCUCUCUCUUUCUCUCUUUCUCUCUCUAUACUUGUCUUUCUCAGGUUGUGGCGUAGUCAUACUCAUAUGUACUGAUUGUUCUGUGCUCUCUCUGUCCCUCACCAUCUCUCCCUUCCCAUCUCUCCUUCCACAUCUCUCCCUCCCCAUCCCUCUCUCCAUAG